ACACACACCCUUUUAAAAGAGAGGAUAUCAGAAGUAUACAUCUUUUAUCCAUGCCCCACACACUUGCAUGUGAAGAGAGAGCACCAGCUGUUUUUCUCAUGGAGGCACUGUGGAAAACACACCUCUCAAACUGGAGCUCACAACCAGGACAGCUGGUAAUGGUAACGCAAAAAAGUGACACAUCACAGUGCACACACACAAAAAGACUUAGUGGACCAGAGACUUCAUAGAAGCUAAAAAACCCUGAAAAACAAAUGG